rnacentral:rRNA from 1 species
GUGCAGCAGGCGCGAAACCUCCGCAAUGCGGGAAACCGUGACGGGGCCACCCCGAGUGCCCCCUUACGGGGGCUUUUCCCCGCUGUAGGAAGGCGGGGGAAUAAGCGGGGGGCAAGUCUGGUGUCAGCCGCCGCGGUAAUACCAGCCCCGCGAGUGGUCGGGACGAUUAUUGGGCCUAAAGCGCCCGUAGCCGGCCCGGCAAGUCCCCUCCUAAAUUCCCGGGCUCAACCCGGGGACUGGAGGGGAUACUGCCGGGCUAGGGGGUGGGAGAGGCCGAGGGUACUCCCGGGGUAGGGGCGAAAUCCUAUAAUCCCGGGAGGACCACCAGUGGCGAAGGCGCUCGGCUGGAACACGCCCGACGGUGAGGGGCGAAAGCCGGGGGAGCGAACCGGAUUAGAUACCCGGGUAGUCCCGGCUGUAAACGAUGCGGGCUAGGUGUUGGGUGGGCUUAGAGCCCACCCAGUGCCGCAGGGAAGCCGUUAAGCCCGCCGCCUGGGGAGUACGGCCGCAAGGCUGAAACUCAAAGGAAUUGGCGGGGGA